UACAGAGGGUGCGAGCGUUGUCCGGAAUUAUUGGGCGUAAAGAGCUCGUAGGCGGUUCGUCGCGUCGGCUGUGAAAUCCCGAGGCUCAACCUCGGGUCUGCAGUCGAUACGGGCGGACUGGAGUUCGGCAGGGGAGACUGGAAUUCCUGGUGUAGCGGUGAAAUGCGCAGAUAUCAGGAGGAACACCGGUGGCGAAGGCGGAUCUCUGGGCCUUGCCUGACGCUGAGGCGCGAAAGCUAGGGGAGCGAACAGG
rnacentral:rRNA from 1 species